rnacentral:lncRNA from 1 species
UAAUAGUAGUUUGAAUGAAUUUAUUCCUACCUUCAACUUUAAAGAGCAAGAGGACAGUGAAGCUGAUUCAAGAAACAGGCAAUGCCACAAAGGAUGCAAGCUACCCAAGCCCGGCUGUGGAUGAGGCAGUUCUUAGGAGUUGAGGCAGCCCUGCAGGAGGUCCUCUGCUAUUAAGAACUCAUGUCCUACAGCUGGGGACCAAGUACUUUUUUGAACUGGGAAUUGAGUGGAGCACUUCUGUGGCUACCGAGUCUGCUUUUUGUGCUUGUCAUAGCUACCUCUCCAUAUCGGAAGAAAAGUUCCUCCAAGAUUCUGGUGCCCCUUUCAUCCUGUCAAAGACAGGAAGAGGGACAUUGAGAAGGAAAACUGUGAUCUUCACCUCCUGUAGUUUGUUUAAUGCUCUUAGUAAAUAUUUAUCAUUAAACUCUCCUAAUUAUUUAUUCUACUUAUCUGUGGCCUCCACUGGCUAUUGUGGCUCAUCUGGUGGCCUAGUCGUCACCCUCAUACCUGAGGAGCUGAGCAUUAAGUUACCAUGUACAUCUAUGGCUAUGUUGGCUUAAUCUGUUCAUUUAAAUUCACAGUUAGACAAGGGAGUCCCAGAAAAAUUCAAGUGAAAUCCCUGGGAUUCACACAUAAUCCUUUGUGUUUCCAUUGUGCAACAGUAGCAUCCUAGUGAUCAGAAUCAGUUUCCUCUGCCAACGUGAUGACUCCUCUCCUUGACUCCUGGUCCUUAGAUUUAAGGAUCCCGAAGUUCCCAAACAGCAGCCACAACUACAAGUGAAUGGAAUUCUUGCAAUGCACCCUGGCAAAGUCAAUUUUGGGGCCGGAAGCCCUAAUUCUGCUCAGUCCAGGGUUGCAAGACGGAAAGCAAAUUGCUCCCUGAUGAGGCAUUAAGCAUGACAGGAAAUGGUGCUACUCCUACUUCCAUCCCUUAGCAUGUAGGCUUUAUUCAUACCUUGGACAGAGCAUAAUACAAAUUCAUUUGAUUCUAUUAUAUCUGGCUUCCUGGAGGACAGCCCUCAUCCUUGAAGAAUAGUGCCUGUAUGCUAGGACUUUAACUGUGCCUCCAGCAGGCAAUCCCAACCCUAUUACACUAGCUGCUGCUGGAUGGUGUGGUAAGUGAUAUUGGAUCUGGAAGCAAAACUCUGUUUAUUAAUGUUUAUUCUGUUGACAUAGUAAUUGAGAGUAACAAGUAUUUUCUUUUUUAAUAAUAUGAUGCUAUUCAUUUUUGGCUUUGAUCAUUUCUAUUGCCCUGUAGACCCUGAUGUAUAUCCAUUCAGCCCUGUGAGAUCCCAGAAGCUCUCCCUAGCUUCUCAGUCUUUCAGCUGUUCCUUUUAUGUUUGGAGUCAGUAAUUAUCUCUUACAAAAAUUUGUCUCAAAUGUCUACUUCACUUCUCUUGUCUUCCUUCUUUCCUCUUUUGGCUCUUCAAAUCCUCACAGCCCUGAUAGCUCAAAUAAAUGUUGUGUAAUUUUCCUAGAUUAUCUAGUUUCUUUUUCUCAUUAAGAGUGCUCAUCACAGAGACAUAGUCAUCCAUUGCUUGAUGGCUGACAUUUUAUAUUUACAAAACAUCAUGUGCUUCAGUUUGUUAAAGGUUUUGCAUCUGUAUUUGUUAGUAAAAAUAUAUGUAUAAUUUUAUUUACUGCUUACAUAUUAAUCUAUGGAUCUAUUAUUUAUUUAUUCAUUUCAUUAUCUAGUAUUGGAUCAAUAAUGCACAAUUAUCAUAAAAGUUACCGGGCAUAUUUUAUACUGUUUUCCUAAUUCUUGAUAUAGCAUGGAUCUGAAUAAUUAUCUUUGGAAGUUUGAUAAAACUAACUUUGAAAAGAAUUAGAACUAUUUUAGUCUUGUAUUUCUGAUUUUGUUUUUAAGUGGGGUAGUAAGAGGAUAAAGGAAUGUAAGUAAAUGCCAUUUUAAUUUUUUGAAUAGCAUUUGAGCAAAAAUAUUAUUGUUUUAUAAACCUACUUUUAAAAUCUUUUGUAUUUAUUUUUAACUGUAUUGCAUUAUUGUUAGGCUU